AACUUUUAACAACGGAUCUCUUGGUUCUCGCAUCGAUGAAGAACGUAGCAAAGUGCGAUAACUAGUGUGAAUUGCAUAUUCAGUGAAUCAUCGAGUCUUUGAACGCAACUUGCGCUCAUUGGUAUUCCAAUGAGCACGCCUGUUUCAGUAUC
rnacentral:rRNA from 1 species